GAUGAACGCUGGCGGCGUGUCUAAUACAUGCAAGUCGAGCGAAUGGACGAGAUUGUCGCUUCUCUGAUGUUAGCGGCGGACGGGUGAGUCACACGUGGAUUACCUACCCAUAAGACUGGGAUAACUUCGCGAAACCGGAGCUAAUACCGGAUUAUAUUUUGUACCGCACGGAUCAAAUGUGAUAGACGGACUUGUUGUCACCUUUUGAUGUAACCGCUCUGCAUUAGCUAGUUGGUAAGGUAACGGCUUACCAAGGCAACGAUGCAUAGCCGACCUGAGAGGCUGAUCGGCCACACUGGAACAGAGACACGGUCCAGCCUCCGGCGGGAGGCAGAAGGAGGGAAAAGUCAGAGAUGGGCGAGAACCUGCCAGCGCAAUGCCGCGUGAGUGAUGAGGGUCUUCGGAUCGAAAAAAACUGUGAAUAGGGAAGAACAUAUGUGGAAGUAACUGUACACAGCUUGACGGUGCCUAAUCGGAAAGCGACGACUAACUACGUG
rnacentral:rRNA from 1 species